rnacentral:tRNA from 3 species
CGGGUUGUGGCUCAGCUUGGUAGAGCGCUGCGUUCGGGACGCAGAAGUCGCUGGUUCAAAUCCAGUCAACCCGACCA